rnacentral:rRNA from 4 species
UAGUGAUCCGGUGGUUCUGAAUGGAAGGGCCAUCGCUCAACGGAUAAAAGGUACUCCGGGGAUAACAGGCUGAUACCGCCCAAGAGUUCAUAUCGACGGCGGUGUUUGGCACCUCGAUGUCGGCUCAUCACAUCCUGGGGCUGAAGUAGGUCCCAAGGGUAUGGCUGUUCGCCAUUUAAAGUGGUACGCGAGCUGGGUUUAGAACGUCGUGAGACAGUUCGGUCCCUAUCUGCCGUGGGCGCUGGAGAACUGAGGGGGGCUGCUCCUAGUACGAGAGGACCGGAGUGGACGCAUCACUGGUGUUCGGGUUGUCAUGCCAAUGGCACUGCCCGGUAGCUAAAUGCGGAAGAGAUAAGUGCUGAAAGCAUCUAAGCACGAAACUUGCCCCGAGAUGAGUUCUCCCUGAGACUUAGAGUCUCCUGAAGGAACGUUGAAGACGACGACGUUGAUAGGCCGGGUGUGUAAGCGCAGCGAUGCGUUGAGCUAACCGGUACUAAUGAACCGUGAGGCUUAACCUU